AUGUUUGCUUGUUUAAAAUAUGGUUAUCAUUGUUUCGGUAAUGAUUCUUGGAUAGUGCUUACUUUCUUGCUAUGUUGUUAUGCGCCUGGUUGUCAUGCCCUGCUAGUUGCUAGUAUUCCUUUCAUAUUCUUAUGCUUGCUAGUAGUACAUGUUGAUGUUGGUAAUGGUCUUCGGUGCAUGACUGCCAUCUGUCCUGAGUACCGUUGUUAUGCAUGUUCCAUUGCAUCCAGUUGGUUAAAUGCUUGCAUGAUGGCAGUGUUGAUAUGUUCUUGCAUGAUAUUUAUUGUUGAUGCUAGUGGUCAUGCUAUGUUUCGGAGAAGUAUGUACUUAUGA
rnacentral:rRNA from 1 species